rnacentral:rRNA from 1 species
AUUGAACGCUGGCGGCAUGCUUUACACAUGCAAGUCGAACGGUAACAGGCCGCAAGGUGCUGACGAGUGGCGAACGGGUGAGUAAUGCAUCGGAACGUGCCCAGUCGUGGGGGAUAACGCAGCGAAAGCUGCGCUAAUACCGCAUACGAUCUAUGGAUGAAAGCGGGGGACCGAAAGGCCUCGCGCGAUUGGAGCGGCCGAUGUCAGAUUAGGUAGUUGGUGGGGUAAAGGCUCACCAAGCCGACGAUCUUUAGCUGGUCUGAGAGGACGACCAGCCACACUGGGACUGAGACACGGCCCAGACUCCUACGGGAGGCAGCAGUGGGGAAUUUUGGACAAUGGGCGCAAGCCUGAUCCAGCAAUGCCGCGUGCAGGAAGAAGGCCUUCGGGUUGUAAACUGCUUUUGUACGGAACGAAAAGGCUCUGGUUAAUACCUGGGGCUCAUGACGGUACCGUAAGAAUAAGCACCGGCUAACUACGUGCCAGCAGCCGCAGUAACAC